ensembl:lncRNA
CCAAAUAAGCCUUCUCCCCCCACCCUGCCUCAUAUGGUGCCAGCAAUUCUUUACUGAUAUCAUCAGCGGAUGCAAAUGAAUUUGGACGGGGCGGGGGGCGCGGGAGUGGAGGGGGGGUAGUGUUGGUGAUGUAGUCAUGGACAAAAUACCACACUGACUGCAGAAUGCUGCAUGUGGAGAGAUGGGAAUAUUGAAUACCCGGCCACCAGAACCAUCCCAAUUCAAUAUUGCAGGAAAAAAACACAUUCCUAUUCCAGAAAUCUUGGCUGUAAAAUACCACCAAGAAAAUCGCCAUUCAAAUGAGAUGCGUUUAUUUCUGCAUGGCCUUUGAAGAGAAGAGAGGGGUCGUGUCACUCAAACGAAGGAAAGGGCCACUACGUUAUAACCACCCCGCCACCCCCUCUUCUUCUUUUCCUUUUUUUUUUUUUUUUAACUCUCCUCUCGCUCAGACCGACCCCCACUUGUCCCCACACAUGCGCGCGCACAGACACACACGUACACAUAGCAAGCUGGCUUUGGGGGCGACAUAGAGGCUAGAUUAGAGCUUUACUUCUUUAACAAGGGAGAGGGGGCACUUCUAUAAUCACAGCGGCGGUAUGUGGGGCCACAAAGAGUUUGCAACCACAGGGCGACUGGUCUUCUGUAGAGUGGUCCAAGCCGUGGGCAAGCCAGGAAAAAAACGCUCUAUCCAGCGUAUUACUAGGAUCAAAACGCAGUGGUUAUAGUGCGUGAAGAGGUUAUUAACCCUCAGAGCACAGCAGAAGACCACUUCUAAAUCUCCAAAACAGCAUAACCCUAGCAUAACCUGAUUUAAGACAAUUCACCACGUUAACAUGACCAGAACGAAGUGCGAAGUAAUUAUUUAGUUUGUGUAGAGACAGAAAUGCAUCCCUUGUUGACGAUUUGGAGUGUGUUUCUGCACGCCUGCUGGCAUCCUCGCUCUCCCCUAAGCACAGCAGUGUAACGUGGACAUACAAAUUUGAUGGAUGGUGCUGAGUAAGAUGGAAAAAAAGGCAUGUAUUUAUCAACAAGCCUCUGAGGUGGCCGGGAGAGAGAGAGAGAAAGAGAUCCAAACAGAG